rnacentral:rRNA from 1 species
UACAGAGGGGGCGAGCGUUGUUCGGAAUUACUGGGCGUAAAGGGCGCGUAGGCGGCCCGCUAAGUCGAACGUGAAAUCCCCAGGCUCAACCUGGGAACUGCGUCCGAUACUGGCAGGCUUGAAUCCGGGAGAGGGAUGUGGAAUUCCAGGUGUAGCGGUGAAAUGCGUAGAUAUCUGGAGGAACACCGGUGGCGAAGGCGGCAUCCUGGACCGAGAUUGACGCUGAGGCGCGAAAGCCAGGGGAGCAAACGGG